CCAGACUCCUACGGGAGGCAGCAGUGGGGAAUAUUGCACAAUGGGGGGAACCCUGAUGCAGCGACGCCGCGUGGAGGAAGAAGGUCUUCGGAUUGUAAACUCCUGUUGUUGAGGAAGAUAAUGACGGUACUCAACAAGGAAGUGACGGCUAACUACGUGC
rnacentral:rRNA from 1 species